AGUGAACGCUGGCGGUAGGCCUAACACAUGCAAGUCGAACGGCAGCACAGUAAGAGCUUGCUCUUACGGGUGGCGAGUGGCGGACGGGUGAGGAAUACAUCGGAAUCUACUUUUUCGUGGGGGAUAACGUAGGGAAACUUACGCUAAUACCGCAUACGACCUACGGGUGAAAGCAGGGGAUCUUCGGACCUUGCGCGAUUGAAUGAGCCGAUGUCGGAUUAGCUAGUUGGCGGGGUAAAGGCCCACCAAGGCGACGAACCGUAGCUGGUCUGAGAGGAUGAUCAGCCACACUGGAACUGAGACACGGUCCAGACUCCUACGGGAGGCAGCAGUGGGGAAUAUUGGACAAUGGGCGAAAGCCUGAUCCAGCCAUACCGCGUGGGUGAAGAAGGCCUUCGGGUUGUAAAGCCCUUUUGUUGGGAAAGAAAAGCAGCAGGUUAAUACCCCGCUGUUCUGACGGUACCCAAAGAAUAAGCACCGGCUAACUUCGUG
rnacentral:rRNA from 1 species